UAAUUUGAGAGUUUGAUCCUGGCUCAGGACGAACGCUGGCGGCGUGCCUAAUACAUGCAAGUCGAACGAACUCUGGUAUUGAUUGGUGCUUGCAUCAUGAUUUACAUUUGAGUGAGUGGCGAACUGGUGAGUAACACGUGGGAAACCUGCCCAGAAGCGGGGGAUAACACCUGGAAACAGAUGCUAAUACCGCAUAACAACUUGGACCGCAUGGUCCGAGUUUGAAAGAUGGCUUCGGCUAUCACUUUUGGAUGGUCCCGCGGCGUAUUAGCUAGAUGGUGGGGUAACGGCUCACCAUGGCAAUGAUACGUAGCCGACCUGAGAGGGUAAUCGGCCACAUUGGGACUGAGACACGGCCCAAACUCCUACGGGAGGCAGCAGUAGGGAAUCUUCCACAAUGGACGAAAGUCUGAUGGAGCAACGCCGCGUGAGUGAAGAAGGGUUUCGGCUCGUAAAACUCUGUUGUUAAAGAAGAACAUAUCUGAGAGUAACUGUUCAGGUAUUGACGGUAUUUAACCAGAAAGCCACGGCUAACUACGUGCCAGCAGCCGCGGUAAUACGUAGGUGGCAAGCGUUGUCCGGAUUUAUUGGGCGUAAAGCGAGCGCAGGCGGUUUUUUAAGUCUGAUGUGAAAGCCUUCGGCUCAACCGAAGAAGUGCAUCGGAAACUGGGAAACUUGAGUGCAGAAGAGGACAGUGGAACUCCAUGUGUAGCGGUGAAAUGCGUAGAUAUAUGGAAGAACACCAGUGGCGAAGGCGGCUGUCUGGUCUGUAACUGACGCUGAGGCUCGAAAGUAUGGGUAGCAAACAGGAUUAGAUACCCUGGUAGUCCAUACCGUAAACGAUGAAUGCUAAGUGUUGGAGGGUUUCCGCCCUUCAGUGCUGCAGCUAACGCAUUAAGCAUUCCGCCUGGGGAGUACGGCCGCAAGGCUGAAACUCAAAGGAAUUGACGGGGGCCCGCACAAGCGGUGGAGCAUGUGGUUUAAUUCGAAGCUACGCGAAGAACCUUACCAGGUCUUGACAUACUAUGCAAAUCUAAGAGAUUAGACGUUCCCUUCGGGGACAUGGAUACAGGUGGUGCAUGGUUGUCGUCAGCUCGUGUCGUGAGAUGUUGGGUUAAGUCCCGCAACGAGCGCAACCCUUAUUAUCAGUUGCCAGCAUUAAGUUGGGCACUCUGGUGAGACUGCCGGUGACAAACCGGAGGGAAGGUGGGGAUGACGUCAAAUCAUCAUGCCCCUUAUGACCUGGGCUACACACGUGCUACAAUGGAUGGUACAACGAGUUGCGAACUCGCGAGAGUAAGCUAAUCUCUUAAAGCCAUUCUCAGUUCGGAUUGUAGGCUGCAACUCGCCUACAUGAAGUCGGAAUCGCUAGUAAUCGCGGAUCAGCAUGCCGCGGUGAAUACGUUCCCGGGCCUUGUACACACCGCCCGUCACACCAUGAGAGUUUGUAACACCCAAAAGUCGGUGGGGUAACCUUUUAGGAACCAGCCGCCUAAGGUGGGACAGAUGAUUAGGGUGAAGUCGUAACAAGGUAGCCGUAGGAGAACCUGCGGCUGGAUCACCUCCUUU
rnacentral:rRNA from 1 species